UUCAGUGUUGGGAGAGACAAUUCUCUUUGAGUUUCUUGUUCUCCUACAGCUCCUGCUAUGGAGCCAAGACAGCAAAGUUCUGACCAUUGUUUCGCCUGGGCCACUUCUCAGCAAUGGGUGGAGGCCCAAAGCACAGAGGACGCAGGCUGGAAGGCGGUGGCCUGUGCAGAGGAAGAAAGAAUUCGCUGGGCAACGCACCAGACGCGGGGAGGAAGAAGUGGCGUGCUCAGAGCUGGAAGGAUGCUAAGAACCGACGUGCCCUGAGUCUGCGCUUCCCCGCAGGUGCGUGUCAGAGGGGAUUCUCCAUCCGGGAUCGCUGCAUGUACAGAAGUGCUAGAGACUUGAUGCUGUCACGGUGAUUUCAAAAGGACAGGACAAACGAGAGUUAACAGCUACAUACUGGCCCUACUAAUGCACCCUACCCAGCCCCGGACAGGUGAAGGACGCCGACGCAGUGGUGUGGGAGCCUGCACUGCGCGUUGUCCUGGAGACCUGGACCCUGGAGAAGAGCCUGUUCCAGAGCCCACUCUGGCUGCAGGUGCCGAGUUCUGUGGUCACUGGGCUCAGGAGAGGAUCCGCCAGCACUGCCUAGUUUCCACAGAGAAAAGGUUUCUCGCACACGACUGACUGCGUCGCGCACCCUGCCACUGGGCAGUGGUGACGAGGCGCGGAUGGAAUGGUCACAAUGGCGGGCGGAGUCACAGCUGACAGAACAGCUGCUCCCACAACACUGGGAAGAGCAGAGCGAAGUUCCUGGAGAGAAGUCCCUUGAGGCAUGCUGGAGGGCUCUGCACUCGCCCUGGAAUACUUGGCAGUCUCAUAUAAAUGCUAAAUGCUGCAGUUGGGUUUAAAAAAAAAAAAAAAGAGCACGGACAGCACCUGGACCAACAGGAACUUCUGCAGCACUGGGUGACGCACUGCCGCGUCACUGACAUACCGCAGCAGGCAUUCCGCCGGCACUCUCUGUACUAUGUGUGCUUUCACUUAUUCCUACAACAGCCUAGCAGGUAGAUGCUUCACCUCUCCUCAAAGCUUCUUUUCCAACCCUUCUUACCUCUCCUCAGAAUGCAUAAGGAUCAGGGUCAAGAGAGUCUUGUAUUUCCAAUGCAAAACAAUGCUAACCUGGAGAAAUUAUAUAGAAGAAAUUCUUGAAUUCAUCCAUCCACACUUCGGCAAGUC